rnacentral:rRNA from 1 species
UAGAGUUUGAUCAUGGCUCAGGACGAACGCUGGCGGCGUGCCUAAUACAUGCAAGUCGAGCGCGGGAAGCAGACAAUCACCCUUCGGGGUGUGCGUCUGUGGAACGAGCGGCGGAUGGGUGAGUAUCACGUGGGCAACCUGCCUGUAAGAUCGGGAUAACUCGCGGAAACGUGAGCUAAUACCGAAUGGAGUCUUUCACCACCUGGUGGAAGAAUGAAAGAUGGCUUUUAGCUAUCACUUACAGAUGGGCCCGCGGCGCAUUAGCUAGUUGGUGGGGUAAGGGCCUACCAAGGCGACGAUGCGUAGCCGACCUGAGAGGGUGAUCGGCCACACUGGGACUGAGACACGGCCCAGACUCCUACGGGAGGCAGCAGUAGGGAAUCUUCCGCAAUGGACGCAAGUCUGACGGAGCGAUGCCGCGUGAGCGAUGAAGGUCUUCGGAUCGUAAAGCUCUGUUGUUAGGGAAGAACAAGUACCGUUCAAAUAGGUCGGUACCUUGACGGUACCUAACCAGAAAGCCCCGGCUAACUACGUGCCAGCAGCCGCGGUAAUACGUAGGGGGCAAGCGUUGUCCGGAAUUAUUGGGCGUAAAGCGCACGCAGGCGGUCCUUUAAGUCUGAUGUGAAAGCUCGCGGCUUAACCGCGAAAUGUCAUUGGAAACUGAAGGGCUUGAGUACAGAAGAGGAGAGUGGAAUUCCACGUGUAGUGGUGAAAUACGUAGAUAUGUGGAGGAACACCAGUGGCGAAGGCGACUCUCUGGUCUGUCACUGACGCUGAGGUGCGAAAGCGUGGGUAGCGAACAGGAUUAGAUACCCUGGUAGUCC